rnacentral:rRNA from 1 species
GACGAACGCUGGCGGCGUGCUUAACACAUGCAAGUCGAACGGAAAGGCCCUGCUUUUGUGGGGUGCUCGAGUGGCGAACGGGUGAGUAACACGUGAGUAACCUGCCCUUGACUUUGGGAUAACUUCAGGAAACUGGGGCUAAUACCGGCUAGGAGCUCCUGCUGCAUGGGGGGGGUUGGAAAGUUUCGGUGGUGGGGGAUGGACUCGGGGCUUAACAGCUGGUUGGUGGGGUAGGGGCUUACCAAGGCAUUGACGGGUAGCCGGCCUGGGAGGGUGACCGGCGACAUGGGGCCUACGGGACGGCGCAGACUCCUACGUGGGGCAGCGGUGGGGAGUAUGGCACAAUGGGCCGAAGCCUGAGACAGCAGCGCUGCGUGCGUGAUGACGGUCUUCGGGGUAGGAACGGCAUUAGCCUGUGACGUAGCGGUAGUGACGGUAAUGGGUAAAUAAGCACCGGCUAACUACGUG